rnacentral:rRNA from 1 species
AGUGAACGCUGGCGGUAGGCCUAACACAUGCAAGUCGAACGGCAGCACAGUAAGAGCUUGCUCUUACGGGUGGCGAGUGGCGGACAGGUGAGGAAUACAUCGGAAUCUACUUUUUCGUGGGGGAUAACGUAGGGAAACUUACGCUAAUACCGCAUACGACCUACGGGUGAAAGCAGGGGAUCUUCGGACCUUGCGCGAUUGAAUGAGCCGAUGUCGGAUUAGCUAGUUGGCGGGGGAAAGGCCCACCAAGGCGACGAUCCGUAGCUGGUCUGAGAGGAUGAUCAGCCACACUGGAACUGAGACACGGUCCAGACUCCUACGGGAGGCAGCAGUGGGGAAUAUUGGACAAUGGGCGCAAGCCUGAUCCAGCCAUACCGCGUGGGUGAAGAAGGCCUUCGGGUUGUAAAGCCCUUUUGUUGGGAAAGAAAAGCAGCAGGUUAAUACCCCGCUGUUCUGACGGUACCCAAAGAAUAAGCACCGGCUAACUUCGUG